UACGUAGGGGGCAAGCGUUGUCCGGAUUUAUUGGGCGUAAAGGGCGCGUAGGCGGCCUGUUAAGUCGAACGUGAAAUCCCCAGGCUCAACCUGGGAACUGCGUCCGAUACUGGCAGGCUUGAAUCCGGGAGAGGGAUGCGGAAUUCCAGGUGUAGCGGUGAAAUGCGUAGAUAUCUGGAGGAACACCGGUGGCGAAGGCGGCAUCCUGGACCGGUAUUGACGCUGAGGCGCGAAAGCCAGGGGAGCAAACGGGGAUAGAA
rnacentral:rRNA from 1 species